UCCGCCCUCGUCAGUGCCCGGGUAUCACAAUGCAUAAUCAACCUAAGAAGCUUGGCAAGCUAAAGGAAGCAAAGGAAUCAAAAGAAGGAAAGAAAAGAGUGUUGUACGAAAUUGAGAGCUUGACUUUUGGAUUGAACUUUCAAAGACAUUUGGCUUCUAGAUUGAAUGAAGCACCCAACCUAUACCAUUGUGUGCCCAACUUCCACG
rnacentral:lncRNA from 1 species